AGUGAACGCUGGCGGUAGGCCUAACACAUGCAAGUCGAACGGCAGCACAGUAAGAGCUUGCUCUUACGGGUGGCGAGUGGCGGACGGGUGAGGAAUACAUCGGAAUCUACUUUUUCGUGGGGGAUAACGUAGGGAAACUUACGCUAAUACCGCAUACGACCUACGGGUGAAAGCAGGGGAUCUUCGGACCUUGCGCGAUUGAAUGAGCCGAUGUCGGAUUAGCUAGUUGGCGGGGUAAAGGCCCACCAAGGCGAGGAUCCGUAGCCGGUCUGAGAGGAUGGUCGGCCACACUGGAACUGACACGCGGUCCAGACUCCUACGGGAGGCAGCAGUGGGGAAUAGUGGACAAUGGGCGCAAGCCUGGUCCAGCCAUACCGCGUGGGUGAAGAAGGCCUUCGGGUUGUAAAGCCCUUUUGUUGGGAAAGAAAAGCAGCAGGUUAAUACCCCGCUGUUCUGACGGUACCCAAAGAAUAAGCACCGGCUAACUUCGUG
rnacentral:rRNA from 1 species